rnacentral:rRNA from 1 species
UACGAAGGGGGGCUAGCGUUGCUCGGAAUCACUGGGCGUAAAGGGUGCGUAGGCGGGUUUUUAAGUCAGAGGUGAAAUCCUGGAGCUCAACUCCAGAACUGCCUUUGAUACUGGGAAUCUUGAGUAUGGAAGAGGUGAGUGGAACUGCGAGUGUAGAGGUGAAAAUUCGUAGAUAUUCGCAAGAACACCAGUGGCGAAGGCGGCUCACUGGUCCAUAACUGACGCUGAGGCACGAAAGCGUGGGGGAGCAAACAGG